UCGUAACAAGGUUUCCGUAGGUGAACCUGCGGAAGGAUCAUUU
rnacentral:rRNA from 1 species